rnacentral:rRNA from 1 species
GACAGAGGCCCCAAGCGUUAGGCGGAAUCACUGGGCUUAAAGCGUGUGUAGGCGGAUCGUUAAGUGUCUUGUGAAAUCCCACGGCUCACCCGUGGAACUGCUGGGCAUACUGGCGAUCUUGGGCCAACUAGGGGCAGCCGGAACAAGCGGUGGAGCGGUGAAAUGCGUAGAUAUCGCUUGGAACGCCGAAGGUGAAAACAGACUGCUGGGGUUGCGCCGACGCUGAGACACGAAAGCCAGGGGAGCAAACGGG